GGAUUAUGUGGUUUAAUUCGAUGAUACGCGAGGAACCUUACCUAGGCUUAAAUGGGAAAUGACAGGUUUAGAAAUAGACUUUUCUUCGGACAUUUUUCAAGGUGCUGCAUGGUUGUCGUCAGCUCGUGCCGUGAGGUGUUAUGUUAAGUCCUGCAACGAGCGCAACCCCUGUCACUAGUUGCCAUCAUUAAGUUGGGGACUCUAGUGAGACUGCCUACGCAAGUACAGAGGAAGGUGGGGAUGACGUCAAAUCAUCACGGCCCUUACGCCUUGGGCCACACACGUAAUACAAUGGCCGGUACAGAGGGCAGCUACACUGCGAAGUGAUGCAAAUCUCGAAAGCCGGUCUCAAUUCGGAUUGGAGUCUGCCACUCGACUCUAUGAAGCUGGAAUCGCUAGUAAU
rnacentral:rRNA from 1 species